CCUACGGGUGGCAGCAGUGAGGAAUAUUGGUCAAUGGGCGCGAGCCUGAACCAGCCAAGUAGCGUGGAGGAUGACUACCCUACGGGUUGUAAACUUCUUUUAUAAAGGAAUAAAGUGAGGCACGUGUGCCUUUUUGUAUGUACUUUAUGAAUAAGGAUCGGCUAACUCCGUGGCAGCAGCCGCGGUAAUACGGAGGAUCCGAGCGUUAUCCGGAUUUAUGGGGUUUAAAGGGAGCGUAGUUGGGUUGUUAAGUCAGUUGGGAAAGUUUGCGGCUCAACCGUAAAAUUGCAAUUGAUACUGGCAGUCUUUAGUCCAGUUGAGGUAGGCGUAAUUCGUGGUGUAGCGG
rnacentral:rRNA from 1 species